rnacentral:piRNA from 1 species
UGCCAAUGCUCAUACAAGGGGCAA